CUCUGUGACUCCUACGGGAGGCAGCAGUGGGGAAUAUUGCACAAUGGGGGAAACCCUGAUGCAGCCAUGCCGCGUGUGUGAAGAAGGCCUUCGGGUUGUAAAGCACUUUCAGUAGGGAGGAAGGUAGUGUAGUUAACACCUGCAUUAUUUGACGUUACCUACAGAAGAAGCACCGGCUAACUCCGUGCCAGCAGCCGCGGUAAUACGGAGGGUGCGAGCGUUAAUCGGAAUUACUGGGCGUAAAGCGCAUGCAGGCGGCCUGUUAAGUCAGAUGUGAAAGCCCCGGGGCUUAACCUCGGAAUUGCAUUUGAAACUGGCAGGCUAGAGUCUUGUAGAGGGGGUAGAAUUUCAGGUGUAGCGGUGAAAUGCGUAGAGAUCUGAAGGAAUACCAGUGGCGAAGGCGGCCCCCUGGACAAAGACUGACACUCAGAUGCGAAAGCGUGGGGAGCAAACAGGAUUAGAUACCCUGGUAG
rnacentral:rRNA from 1 species